rnacentral:tRNA from 2 species
GGCUCAGUGGUCUAGUGGUAUGAUUCUCGCUUUGGGUGCGAGAGGUCACGGGUUCGAUUCCCGUCUGAGCCC